GGGCGAUUGGCACAGGGGUAGCGCACAUCCUUCACACGGAUGGGGUCACUGGUUCAAAUCCAGUAUCGCCCAC
rnacentral:tRNA from 1 species